AGCGAACGCUGGCGGCAGGCUUAACACAUGCAAGUCGAACGCAUCCUUCGGGGUGAGUGGCAGACGGGUGAGUAACACGUGGGAACGUACCCUUUGGUUCGGAAUAACACAGGGAAACUUGUGCUAAUACCGGAUACGCCCUUUUGGGGAAAGGUUUACUGCCGAGGGAUCGGCCCGCGUCUGAUUAGCUAGUUGGUGGGGUAACGGCCUACCAAGGCGACGAUCAGUAGCUGGUCUGAGAGGAUGAUCAGCCACACUGGGACUGAGACACGGCCCAGACUCCUACGGGAGGCAGCAGUGGGGAAUAUUGGACAAUGGGCGCAAGCCUGAUCCAGCCAUGCCGCGUGAGUGAUGAAGGCCUUAGGGUUGUAAAGCUCUUUUGUCCGGGACGAUAAUGACGGUACCGGAAGAAUAAGCCCCGGCUAACUUCGUGCCAGCAGCCGCAGUAACAC
rnacentral:rRNA from 1 species